AGAGUUUGAUCCUGGCUCAGGAUGAACGCUGGCGGCGUGCCUAACACAUGCAAGUCGAACGGUUAAGCCGGCUUCGGCCGGGAAUACAGUGGCGAACGGGUGAGUAACACGUGACCAACCUGCCCCCCGCUCCGGGACAACCGCUGGAAACGGCGGCUAAUACCGGGUACUCCGCGGGCCCCGCAUGGGGCCGGCGGGAAAGCCCAGGCGGCGGGGGAUGGGGUCGCGGCCCAUUAGGUAGUAGGCGGGGUAGAGGCCCACCUAGCCGACGAUGGGUAGCCGGACUGAGAGGUCGACCGGCCACAUUGGGACUGAGAUACGGCCCAGACUCCUACGGGAGGCAGCAGUGGGGAAUUUUGCGCAAUGGGGGAAACCCUGACGCAGCAACGCCGCGUGCGGGACGAAGGCCCUCGGGCUGUAAACCGCUUUCGGCAGGGAAGACAUCGACGGUACCUGCAGAAGAAGCUCCGGCUAACUACGUGCCAGCAGCCGCGGUAAUACGUAGGGGGCGAGCGUUAUCCGGAUUCAUUGGGCGUAAAGCGCGCGUAGGCGGCCGCCUAAGCGGAACCUCUAACCCCGGGGCUCAACCUCGGGCCGGGUUCCGGACUGGGCGGCUCGAGUGCGGUAGAGGAGAGCGGAAUUCCCGGUGUAGCGGUGGAAUGCGCAGAUAUCGGGAAGAACACCGAUGGCGAAGGCAGCUCUCUGGGCCGUCACUGACGCUGAGGCGCGAAAGCUGGGGGAGCGAACAGGAUUAGAUACCCUGGUAGUCCCAGCCGUAAACGAUGGACGCUAGGUGUGGGGGGACGUGCCCUCCGUGCCGCAGCCAACGCAUUAAGCGUCCCGCCUGGGGAGUACGGCCGCAAGGCUAAAACUCAAAGGAAUUGACGGGGGCCCGCACAAGCAGCGGAGCAUGUGGCUUAAUUCGAAGCAACGCGAAGAACCUUACCAGGGCUUGACAUGCGAGUGAAGCCGGGGAGACCCGGUGGCCGAGAGGAGCUCGCGCAGGUGGUGCAUGGCUGUCGUCAGCUCGUGUCGUGAGAUGUUGGGUUAAGUCCCGCAACGAGCGCAACCCCCGUCCCGCGUUGCCAGCAUUAGGUUGGGGACUCGCGGGAGACUGCCGGCGUCAAGCCGGAGGAGGGUGGGGACGACGUCAAGUCAUCAUGCCCCUUAUGCCCUGGGCUGCACACGUGCUACAAUGGCCGGUACAGAGGGUUGCCACCCCGCGAGGGGGAGCGGAUCCCGGAAAGCCGGCCCCAGUUCGGAUCGCAGGCUGCAACCCGCCUGCGUGAAGCCGGAGUUGCUAGUAAUCGCGGAUCAGCACGCCGCGGUGAAUACGUUCCCGGGCCUUGCACUCACCGCCCGU
rnacentral:rRNA from 1 species